UCAUAGUCUUAUGUAGGUUGGAUGGCUUCUCCUUGUGUGGUUCUACUCCAAAUAGUAAGAUCCAAGAUGCUUCUAUUUAGUGGCAUCACCAUCAUGGAUAUCUUUCCUUCUGGCCAUGUCAACAGUGGAAAUAUCAUGAAAAAUCCAUCUUCAAUAUAGGAAUAUGCUUAGUCUUCCCUUCAGAAGGCUGGUGAAUCGGCUGUCUUGAGUGAUCAUAUAGUCUGAAUUUUCUUGAAAUGUUUACAUCAAGUGUGUCCAAUUUUUUGGCUUCCCUGGGCCACACUGGAAGAAGAUUGUCUUGGGCCACACAAAAAAUACACUAACACUAACAAUAGCUAAUGACCUAAAAAAAAAAAGGCAAAAAAAGUCUCGAUGUUUUAAGAAAGUUUAUGAAUCUGUGUUUAUUCAAAGCUGUCAUGGCCCACAUGUGGCCUGUGGGCUGCAGGGUGGACAAUCUUGGUUUACAUGCUUUUGGCAUUUUCCUGAAAUAGUUGGUAACUUGUAAUUACAUGGCUUU
rnacentral:lncRNA from 10 species